rfam:Lachnospiraceae bacterium ACC2 genomic scaffold supercont1.2, whole genome shotgun sequence.
AAAUUUGAGAGUUCGAUCCUGGCUCAGGAUGAACGCUGGCGGCGUGCUUAACACAUGCAAGUCGAACGAGAAAUGGAGAUGGAAACCUUCGGGCGGAAGCCUUCAUUUCGAGUGGCGGACGGGUGAGUAACGCGUGGGUAACCUGCCUCAUACAGGGGGAUAACAGCUGGAAACGACUGUUAAUACCGCAUAAGACCACAGCACCGCAUGGUGCAGGGGUAAAAACUCCGGUGGUAUGAGAUGGACCCGCGUUCGAUUAGCCAGUUGGCGGGGUAACGGCCCACCAAAGCGACGAUCGAUAGCCGAUCUGAGAGGAUGACCGGCCACAUUGGGACUGAGACACGGCCCAAACUCCUACGGGAGGCAGCAGUGGGGAAUAUUGCACAAUGGGGGAAACCCUGAUGCAGCGACGCCGCGUGAGUGAAGAAGUAUUUCGGUAUGUAAAGCUCUAUCAGCAGGGAAGAAAAUGACGGUACCUGAGUAAGAAGCCCCGGCUAACUACGUGCCAGCAGCCGCGGUAAUACGUAGGGGGCAAGCGUUAUCCGGAUUUACUGGGUGUAAAGGGAGCGCAGACGGCUCUGCAAGUCUGAAGUGAAAGCCCGCGGCUUAACCGCGGGACUGCUUUGGAAACUGCAAGGCUUGAGUAUCGGAGGGGCAGGCGGAAUUCCUAGUGUAGCGGUGAAAUGCGUAGAUAUUAGGAAGAACACCGGUGGCGAAGGCGGCCUGCUGGACGAAAACUGACGUUGAGGCUCGAAGGCGUGGGGAGCAAACAGGAUUAGAUACCCUGGUAGUCCACGCGGUAAACGAUGAAUACUAGGUGUUGGUGCCCGAAGGGCAUCGGUGCCGUCGCAAACGCAAUAAGUAUUCCACCUGGGGAGUACGUUCGCAAGAAUGAAACUCAAAGGAAUUGACGGGGACCCGCACAAGCAGUGGAGCAUGUGGUUUAAUUCGAAGCAACGCGAAGAACCUUACCAAAUCUUGACAUCCUUCUGACCGCACCGUAAUGGGUGCUUUCCUUCGGGACAGGAGUGACAGGUGGUGCAUGGUUGUCGUCAGCUCGUGUCGUGAGAUGUUGGGUUAAGUCCCGCAACGAGCGCAACCCCUAUUGCCGGUAGCCAGCAGGUAAAGCUGGGCACUCCGGCGAGACUGCCCGGGAUAACCGGGAGGAAGGUGGGGAUGACGUCAAAUCAUCAUGCCCCUUAUGAUUUGGGCAACACACGUGCUACAAUGGCGUUAACAAAGAGAAGCGAGAACGCGAGUUUAAGCAAAGCUCAAAAAUAACGUCUCAGUUCGGACUGCAGUCUGCAACUCGACUGCACGAAGCUGGAAUUGCUAGUAAUCGCGAAUCAGCAUGUCGCGGUGAAUACGUUCCCGGGUCUUGUACACACCGCCCGUCACACCAUGGGAGUCAGCAACGCCCGAAGUCAGUGACCCAACCUUAGGGAGGGAGCUGCCGAAGGCGGGGCGGAUAACUGGGGUGAAGUCGUAACAAGGUAGCCGUAUCGGAAGGUGCGGCUGGAUCACCUCCUUU